GAUGAACGCUGGCGGCGUGCCUAAUACAUGCAAGUCGAGCGAACAGACGAGGAGCUUGCUCCUCUGACGUUAGCGGCGGACGGGUGAGUAACACGUGGAUAACCUACCUAUAAGACUGGGAUAACUUCGGGAAACCGGAGCUAAUACCGGAUAAUAUAUUGAACCGCAUGGUUCAAUAGUGAAAGACGGUUUUGCUGUCACUUAUAGAUGGAUCUGGGCCGCAUUAUCUAGUUGGUAAGGUAACGGCUUACCAAGGCAACGAUGCGUAGCCGACCUCAGAGGGUGAUCGGCCACACUGGAACUGAGACACGGUCCAGACUCCUACGGGAGGCAGCAGUAGGGAAUCUUACGCAAUGGGCGAAAGCCUGACGGAGCAACACCGCGUGAAUGAUGAAGGUCUUCGGAUCGUAAAACUCUGUUAUUAGGGAAGAACAAAUGUGUAAGUAACUAUGCACGUCUUGACGGUACCUAAUCAGAAAGCCACGGCUAACUACGUG
rnacentral:rRNA from 1 species